AGAGUUUGAUCCUGGCUCAGAAUGAACGUUGGCGGCGUGCCUAACACAUGCAAGUCGAGCGAGAAAGUUCCUUCGGGAAUGAGUAAAGCGGCGGACGGGUGAGUAACACGUAAGAAUCUGCCCUAUAGUGAGGAAUACCCUCGAGAAAUUGAGGUUAAUACUGCAUAAGUCCCUGCGGGGAGAAAAGCGUCUUUAUGUCG
rnacentral:rRNA from 1 species